GAUUCUACUAGGAAACAUGGUAAUUUUCAUCUGAACUGGAAAUUAAGACUGCCAUUUAGCCACUUUGAGCUCUAUGCCCCUGAAGAAUAGACAGGAGAGUUACUGUGCUGGCUAGGGUGUAUUAUCCUAACUACUGAGGGCAGAUUGUACUGAUACUCCAUCAUGGAGGUAAAACAAGGGUACAUCUAAAACACAGGUGAUUCCUUAGGACAUCCCUCAGUAUGUUUUAUUAUACUCUGGUUGGUCUGUGGAAAUAUGACCCAAUGCAGGCAGAACUUCUAAUGGCCCCCACCCUUCAGGAAGAAAGUUUUAGGUCACCACUUCAAAUGAAGAACCACAGUCAGAUAAGGUGCUUGCUGAGGGCAAAAAGAAUAUGGAAUGGGCCGUGGAAUAAAUUGGUUAUAAAUGUAUCAAUCACUGCAUGACCAGAUACGGAAAUGAUAUCUAUAUUUGUCAUGAUUAAUUCUUCUUAUUGUUACAGUUGGAUCUAGACUGUCCCCCCAAAGUCUCAUGUUUUGAAAGUAUGGUCCCCAAUGCAUCCAGGUUCAGAGUUGGGACUUUUAGGCAAUGAUUGAUCAUGUGGGUUCUGACCUCAUCUGUGGAUUAAUCCACCUAUUAAUCCAUUGAUUAAUGGAGAGCUGAAUGGACUACUUAGAGGUAGAACUUAGUUGUGGGAAGUAGGUCACUGGAGGUGAGCCCUGGAAGGGCUCCAGGCCCUUCCCCUCUCUGCUUCCAGGCUGCCAUGACCUGGGAAGCUUUCUUCCACCACUCCCUCUGCCCUGAUGUUCUGCCUUGCUUCAGGCCCCACACAAUGGACCUGCCCACCAGGGACUGAAUCCUGUAAAACUGUGAGGCAAAAUAAAUCUUCACAACUGUAAGUUGUUUUUUUCAGGUAUUUGUCACAGUAGUGAAAGGUUAACACACUUGUUUUGUCAUGAAUGUGUUUGUUAACUUUUCAUUACUAUGACAAAAACAUCUAAGAAAAUAAUUUAUGGGGCUGGGGAUGUGGCUCAAGUGGU
rnacentral:lncRNA from 1 species